rnacentral:rRNA from 1 species
CCUACGGGAGACAGCAGUGAGGAAUAUUGGUCAAUGGGCGGGAGCCUGAACCAGCCAAGUCGCGUGAGGGAAGAAGGUACUGAGUAUUGUAAACCUCUUUUGCCAGGGGACAAAGGCGGCCACGGGUGGCCGUCAGAGGGUACCUGGAGAAAAAGCAUCGGCUAACUCCGUGCCAGCAGCCGCGGUAAUACGGAGGAUGCGAGCGUUAUCCGGAUUUAUUGGGUUUAAAGGGUGCGUAGGCGGGAUGCCAAGUCAGCGGUCAAAUACGGGGGCUCAACCUGCGUCCGCCGUUGAAACUGGCGUUCUUGAGUGGGCGAGAAGUACGCGGAAUGCGUGGUGUAGCGGUGAAAUGCAUAGAUAUCACGCAGAACACCGAUUGCGAAGGCAGCGUACCGGCGCCCAACUGACGCUGAAGCACGAAAGCGUGGGUAUCGAACAGGAUUAGAUACCCCAGUAGU